rnacentral:lncRNA from 1 species
UUCAAAACUAUGAAAAAUAUUUUGAAAAUUCAAAAAUAUCUGAAAAACUCGACCAAAAAUAAAACACACUAAUAUUUAUGAAAUUAUAAAUAGUGCUUCUAAAACGAGAACAUUUUAUCAAAUUCGCAAAAAACAAUUCACAAUUUGUGAACAACUUUUAGAAAGAUGGACAUUUAUUUCGAAUUGUAUAAAAAUAGGAAAAUAAUCUAAAUUAUCAACACAUUUUACAAAACAAAAAGAGGUUAUGAUUCCUCCAUUUUAUAAUUUGCAACAAAAUUCGAAAACACAAAAAGUUUUUGAAUUUUUACUAAAAUUGGAAAACCGAAAUAUUUUUUGCAAUUUUCUUGGAAUUGCCAAAGAAAUUCCUGUGUUUUGAAAGAAGUGAACAAAUUUUGAAAUUCUGAAAUGUUCUUGAUUUUCAGAAAAUUUGAAAUGUUCAAGCUUUUAUAUAAGUAAGUAAUACAAAACUAAAACUCUAAAACUUUUUUGCAAUUUCUGAAUAAAAUAUGAAAAUAUAAAAAAAUUAUUUAAAAAUGAACAGAAUUUGAAAAAUGUGAAUAUUUUUUAAAUUUUGCAUAAUCUUUGUGAAGAUGAAAAAUGAACUUUCAAUACCAAAAUAAAAAUGUUACAGGAAACAGAAAAAGGGAAAAGGAAAGAACAAAAAGAAGUAAGGAAAAAGGAAUAACCCGGUUCAGGAAACCUUCUAGAUGGUUCCCAAAACCAAAAACAUCCCUGCUAAAAUCGCUACAAGGUUCCCAAAACCGAAAACACUGCAUGAUCUUAACAGGCCGGCCGAUCUCGCCGCUCAAUCGCAUACUCAUGUGCGAAAGAUGGACAGUUUGACGUAGAAUCGGUCAUAUAGGGAUUUCUAACGCAUCACGAGCCCGGACUCUUCCCCCGCGUGCUAUCUAUAGGUAUCUAACUCACACCCUUACAUUGGCGUACGG